rnacentral:lncRNA from 1 species
UUCGGCUUAUUUCCUCACCAGGUGGCAGCACUGCCUUCUUUGGACACAGAAACUGUGGCGGCGAAUGCGCCACUGUGUUUUGCACUGUGUGGAGUCCGUGCGGUGUCGGUUCGGGGGACUGAAUUUCGGUGAAUUUGAUAGCAAUUGAUUUGAAUUUUGCUCAGAUGGGUUGUGAAUUUAUAUUCAGCAAGUGUCACAAACAUGGAAAGGCAAGUUUACAAAGGACAGGAGACUUAGAAAGGCUUCAAUUGACGUAGCCGAAGAGAGGCGAGAAGCCGAAGAUAGACCGACUCCAAACGGUGCCCAGUGCAAUAAUGUUUCUGGUGCGGAGUUGUCAGGAUGGAGUCCGAGGAAUCAAGGACGGCAGAGGACCUGCGUAUGAAGGAACCAGCCCUGCGGAUGAAGUUCUGAGGUGCAUACAGAGGAAUCCCACUGAAAGACCAGGUGCAAUGCUGCAUUGAUAAGAUCCAGAUUCAAGAGCAUGGAUGCUACCAGAUCCUGUGAUUUGAAGUUACCAGUGUCACUGCUGCUACAAAUGACAUCAGCAACACUUCCUUUGGUGAAAGUUUAGAGGAGCAAACAGUCGGUGCUCUGUGUAGUCAAGCAGUGGAGUUUUACCACAAUCAUGAAGUUGAUUAAGUUGUCAAUUUUUGCUCUGGCUUCUGGGACACCUUGGAUCUACAUUGCAACCUAUGCUAGUGUUCAACAUUUUGUGUCAUAGCAUCACUGAUGCAAAGCGUGUUGCAUCAUACACAAAUGAGAGCCAGCAAAUUGUCAGAUACUCAGAUAUUUUCUAGUGAUAGAGAACUGCAUGCCUUAAGCAAUUGUUGAAGGUGAUAAGUGGUGAAUGGUAGGGCUCAGCCACUCAGCUCCUUCCUUCAAAAGCUAUCAAUCAGCUCUAGAAGAGCAGUCAUAGCAAUGCUUCAUAUGUGAAGGCUACUUGACUGAACAGAACAUUGUGGAUUUGUUAAUUAAGUACCUCUUUAUUACAAGUUUGUGCCCAUUACAAGCCAAGCUUAGUUUACUUAGUUUGUUGCAAGUUUUCCAGGCAGCCUUCACACUUGUGUCGCUGAAUAUUAAACUUUAACUGAAGACCGACGAGAUAUUGUCCCUUUCGCAUCAGAUUGUUAUCAGUCAGUCGUGUUGGUAGUAGGUACAGUCUGUCUUAAAAGUACCGCGCAAAGUGACGGUGGAUCCAUCAAGCCUGACCGAGGAAGGGCCUGCUAUAAUUUGAAAGUCACCGAACCAAUUGACCUGGGGAACGGACGAGGAUGUCAUGUAGAGCCACGCAGAAAUCGCCGGUGAUUCGUUGCCCAUCAUUACAGAAUGAACGCAUGCCGGAUGAAGGGUUAAGUCAAUAGAGUGUACAAACUAUAUACAGGGAUGUGAUUGACUUAUCUGACAGUGACGAGCGCUAGAGGUCAACUUAAGACCGUAGGUAUGCGUUCUUGUCAUGGAAUGUGUGCUGCAAAUCGAUUGUUUCAUGCGUGUGAAUAUAUGUCUGAAUGUAA